rnacentral:rRNA from 1 species
UCUUUCUUUGCUGGCGACCGGCGCACGGGUGAGUAACACGUAUCCAACCUGCCCUUUACUCGGGGAUAGCCUUUCGAAAGAAAGAUUAAUACCCGAUAGCAUAAUGAUUCCGCAUGGUUUCAUUAUUAAAGGAUUCCGGUAAAGGAUGGGGAUGCGUUCCAUUAGGUUGUUGGUGGGGUAACGGCCCACCAAGCCUUCGAUGGAUAGGGGUUCUGAGAGGAAGGUCCCCCACAUUGGAACUGAGACACGGACCAA